CCUACGGGAGGCAGCAGUGAGGAAUAUUGGUCAAUGGCCGUAAGGCUGAACCAGCCAAGUCGCGUGAAGGAAGAAGGAUCUAUGGUUUGUAAACUUCUUUUAUAGGGGAAUAAAGGUAUCCACGUGUGGAUAUUUGCAUGUACCCUAUGAAUAAGCAUCGGCUAACUCCGUGCCAGCAGCCGCGGUUAUACGGAGGAUGCGAGCGGUAUCCGGAUUUAUUGGGUUUAAAGGGUGCGUAGGUUGUUUUUUAAGUCAGCGGUGAAAGUUUGUGGCUCAACCAUAAAAUUGCCGUUGAAACUGGAAGACUUGAGUGUGUUUGAGGUAGGCGGAAUGCGUGGUGUAGCGGUGAAAUGCAUAGAUAUCACGCAGAACUCCGAUUGCGAAGGCAGCUUACUAAGCCAUAACUGACACUGAAGCACGAAAGCGUGGGUAUCAAACAGGAUUAGAUACCCGGGUAGUC
rnacentral:rRNA from 1 species